AACGCACGAGACCUGCGGACCUGCGGAGGGAUCAUUACCGAGUCUCCGACUCCCAAACCACUGUGAACCUACCUCUUUUUAGCGCUCCGCCGGGUCGGUCCCAGGGGGCCGGCUGCCGCUAGGCGCCUGGCGGAGCUCUGGAAAAUCUCUCUCAGCGAGCUUCUGAGUCUUGUCUCUAAAAGAGUCACAACUUUCAACAACGGAUCUCU
rnacentral:misc_RNA from 1 species